UCGUCAGCUCGUGUCGUGAGAUGUUGGGUUAAGUCCCGCAACGAGCGCAACCCUUGCCUUUAGUUGCCAGCAUUAAGUUGGGCACUCUAGAGGGACUGCCGAGGAUAACUCGGAGGAAGGUGGGGAUGACGUCAAAUCAUCAUGCCCCUUAUGCUUAGGGCUACACACGUGCUACAAUGGGUGGUACAGAGGGUUGCCAAACCGUGAGGUGGAGCUAAUCCCUUAAAGCCAUUCUCAGUUCGGAUUGUAGGCUGAAACUCGCCUACAUGAAGCUGGAGUUACUAGUAAUCGCAGAUCAGAAUGCUGCGGUGAAUGCGUUCCCGGGUCUUGUACACACCGCCCGUCACACCAUGGGAGUUGGGGGCGCCCGAAGCCGGUUAGCUAACCUUUUAGGAGGCAACCGUCGAAGGUGAAACCAAUGACUGGGGUGAAGUCGUAACAAGGUAACCGUA
rnacentral:rRNA from 1 species